AAUUGACAUAUUAACAGUGUUCCAUGGUGGCCCAGCGUAAAAUGGCUGCAAACAGUACCCUCCUUGAUAGUGUAUGCAGCCUGUUGAUUUUAUGGGUUGCCCUAAGAGGCCUGGGAGACAGCC
ensembl:snoRNA SNORA70 Small nucleolar RNA SNORA70